ACGGGUGAGUAACGCGUGGGAAUCUACCGUACCCUACGGAAUAGCUCCGGGAAACUGGAAUUAAUACCGUAUACGCCCUACGGGGGAAAGAUUUAUCGGGGUAUGAUGAGCCCGCGUUGGAUUAGCUAGUUGGUGGGGUAAAGGCCUACCAAGGCGACGAUCCAUAGCUGGUCUGAGAGGAUGAUCAGCCACAUUGGGACUGAGACACGGCCCAAACUCCUACGGGAGGCAGCAGUGGGGAAUAUUGGACAAUGGGCGCAAGCCUGAUCCAGCCAUGCCGCGUGAGUGAUGAAGGUCUUAGGAUUGUAAAGCUCUUUCACCGAUGAAGAUAAUGACGGUAGUCGGAGAAGAAGCCCCGGCUAACUUCGUGCCAGCAGCCGCGGUAAUACGAAGGGGGCUGGCGUUGUUCGGAAUUACUGGGCGUAAAGCGCACGUAGGCGGAUAUUUAAGUCAGGGGUGAAAUCCCAGAGCUCAACUCUGGAACUGCCUUUGAUACUGGGUAUCUUGAGUAUGGAAGAGGUAAGUGGAAUUCCGAGUGUAGAGGUGAAAUUCGUAGA
rnacentral:rRNA from 1 species